rnacentral:rRNA from 1 species
GGGUGAGUAACGCGUAUGCAACCUACCUUAUACAGGAGUAUAGCCCGAAGAAAUUCGGAUUAAUCCUCCAUAGUAUUUUCUAAUGGCAUCAUUUGGAAAAUUAAAGCUUCGGCGGUAUAAGAUGGGCAUGCGUCCUAUUAGCUAGAUGGUAAGGUAAUGGCUUACCAUGGCAACGAUAGGUAGGGGGCCUGAGAGGGUGAUCCCCCACACUGGUACUGAGACACGGACCAGACUCCUACGGGAGGCAGCAGUGAGGAAUAUUGGGCAAUGGAGGCAACUCUGACCCAGCCAUGCCGCGUGCAGGAAGAAUGCCCUAUGGGUUGUAAACUGCUUUUAUUUAGGAAUAAACCCCUCUACGUGUAGAGGGCUGAAUGUACUAAACGAAUAAGCACCGGCUAACUCCGUGCCAGCAGCCGCGGUAAUACGGAGGGUGCAAGCGUUAUCCGGAAUCAUUGGGUUUAAAGGGUCCGCAGGCGGAUGUAUAAGUCAGUGGUGAAAUCCUGCAGCUUAACUGCAGAACUGCCAUUGAUACUGUACAUCUUGAAUUCGGUCGAAGUGGGCGGAAUGUGUAGUGUAGCGGUGAAAUGCAUAGAUAUUACACAGAACACCGAUAGCGAAGGCAGCUCACUAGGCCUGGAUUGACGCUCAGGGACGAAAGCGUGGGGAUCAAACAGGAUUAGAUACCCUGGUAGUCCACGCUGUAAACGAUGAUUACUCGUUUUCGGCGAUAUACAGUCGGAGACUAAGCGAAAGUGAUAAU